GGCGCCACCGAGCGGCCCGGCCCCGCUAGUCCCGGCCGCCUCCCGCCCUCCGCCCGGGGGCCCGGCCCGCGCCGGGCCCGUCUCUCCGCGCCGCAUCUCCCGGACGGGUAAACUGAGGCCCGGCGAAGGCUGCGUGCUCGGGUUCGAGUCCUUCCGCCGCCGGUCACCCGCUCCGAGGCGGCGCAGGCGCCCGUGGGCGGCACGGUGGGCCCAAGAGCCGCCAGGUCUCGUCCCCGAAGCCCUGCAGACGCAGGGCGCCGCCGCUGGCGCAGAGGAGGCGCCCCGGGGCUCGAGUCCCCGCCCUGCUGCUGACCAGCUGUGUGAUGGAUGACCUUGAGCGAGUGACCUCGCUCCUCUCCCCCAGGGUUCUCAUCUCUCAUCCAAGGGGCUGGCGUGAGGUUCAUGCUUGUAAAGCCCACGGGACAGUGCAGGGACCUGAGUAGACAGAGAAACAGAGUUCUCGCUGAAACAUGGAGUCCUGGCCACACGACAGGAUAAAUUUCCUUGGGAGAAUUGAACAUACUACAGGAAGUGCUCAAGAAGGCUAUUUCUCUGGUGGAAGGGGAGACAACAAGAUAAACCUCUAAAAUCCCUUUCUACUUUAAGAUUCUAUCACCUUCAGGACCUAAGUACUAAGGAUAUGGUCAAGAGCCUGAGAUUCUACUGGAACUUCCCAGCAAACUUACGUGGAAGUCUCUGGGAGGUGACAUGGCUGGAAUUCUGCCCGAUUCCAGUGUCAAUGCACCCAUGCGCUGUCUACAUCGCCUCAGAGACAGGGAAGCCGGAAGAAGACCUGGGACUGUCUUCACGCGCCCUCAGCUAGCACAUGGUGAGCAUUCAAGUACAGAGGCUGAACUGCAUAUUUUUGUGGGCGUAAACUCUGCCCUCUGUGUCUGAGGCAUCAUGUGAUAUGGCAGUGGGGAUGUGGAGCUGUGGUACUCAAACUCAGGAGCCAGUAAGUCACCUGAGGAGACCUGUUGAAACGCAGAUUCUGGAGCCCUACCUCCAGAGCGCCUGAUUCAGUGGUGUCCAGGAAGCAUUUUCAUCAAGACCCUCAGAUCGUUCUGACACAAAUAAAUCACAAAGCAUAUGGAUGUUAGUGAUAAGAUCACAGCCAUGCCAGGCUGAGGUUCAGUUCGCCUGCAGUCUGAUGGGAGCUGUUCCCAAACAGAUCCCCACUCAUGUUUACGAUUCCUUUUCCUUAUAGAAAGGAGGAAGCCGGUGGUGUGCUAGUAAAUGUCUUAACUGGCUCUCUUCAGAAGGAAUAAAAACAAACAAACAAAAACCCUGAUUUAUAGCAUUUUCCAAUAUCCACGGUGUAAAUACUCAUACCAAGCUACCAAAGGGAUAUCACUGAAAACUGAGUUGGGAGGGGACAUGUGGCAUUGUCCCUAUGGCAACCGCCAGAGGAAGCCCAGGUAGGGGAGGGGACUUACUUCCCUGGGCCUCAGUUUCCCCACUAAUAAAAUGAGAAUGCACUAAGGGCUUCUGAUCGCUAAUGGAUUAUGCUUUACUUAGACUAAUUAUUAGGCCUGACUGUGGGGUCUCUGGGUUGAGAAAAGUCAGAUUUAGGGGGCCUGGUUGCCAGGGCAUGCAGAGACAGGGGGACAGAGUGGGCCCAGCUCUGCUCAUCCCUUUUUCCUUGGGAGGGUAGAGGAGCUCACUGGCUGGGUGUAAGGAGCAUGGGCUUCAAAUCCUGGCCAAACAUUUACCGAGCUUCUGCAAGCCUCAGUUUCCCAAUCUGUAAACUGCAGGGAACAAUACUGUACCUUCCCCCCCCCAACACGUACACACACAGAAUGGCUGUAAGGACUAAAUGAGAUGAAGUCUGGCACAUGGUAAAAUUUCCAUAAAUAUUGACUCCCGUGUCUCCAUUCCUUGCCUAUGAUGGUUAUUUUCCAAAUUUUACCAGAGCCUUGUGAGACCAAAUGGCCAAUUUCACUUAUAAACAGAGUAGUAAGUCACCCAUACUGUAUGAUUUGAGG